rnacentral:rRNA from 1 species
GACGAACGCUGGCGGCAGGCCUAAUACAUGCAAGUCGAGCGAGCGGCGGACGGGUGAGUAAUGUAUGGGGACUGCCCGACAGCGGGGGAUAACUUCUGGAAACGGCGGCUAAUACCGCAUACUGUUGGAUAACCCAUAUGGGAUUAGCUAUUGGGUAAGGUAAUGGCUUACCUAGUCGACGAUCCCUAGCUGGUCUGAGAGGAUGAUCAGCCACACUGGGACUGGUAAACGGCCCAGACUCCUACGGAGGCAGCGGUGGGGAAUAUUGCGCAAGGGGCGCAAGCCUGAUGCAGCAAUGCGGCGUGUAUGAAGAAGGCCCUAGGGUUGUAAAGUACUUUCAGUCGGGAGGCGUUACCGACAGAAGAAGCGCCGGCUAACUACGUGCCAGCAGCCGCGGUAAUUC